CGUGUAGGCGGUCAGGUAAGUGAGAUGUGAAAUGCCUCGGCUCACCCGAGGACCGGCAUCUCAUACUGCUUGGCUUGAGUACGGGAGAGGGUGUGGGAAUUCCUGGUGUAGCGGUGAAAUGCGUAGAUAUCAGGAGGAACACCGGUGGCGAAGGCGCACACCUGGCCCGAUACUGACGCUGAGGCGCGAAAGCUAGGGGAGCAAACG
rnacentral:rRNA from 1 species